CCUACGGGAGGCAGCAGUGGGGAAUAUUGGGCAAUGGAGGAAACUCUGACCCAGCGACGCCGCGUGAGGGAUGAAGGCCUUCGGGUUGUAAACCUCUUUCAGUAGGGAAGAAGCGAAAGUGACGGUACCUACAGAAGAAGCACCGGCUAACUAUGUGCCAGCAGCCGCGGUAAUACAUAGGGUGCAAGCGUUGUCCGGAAUUAUUGGGCGUAAAGAGCUCGUAGGUGGUUCGAUACGUCGGAUGUGAAAAUCAGGGGCUCAACCCCUGACCUGCAUCCGAUACGGUCGAGCUAGAGUUUGGUAGGGGAGACUGGAAUUCCUGGUGUAGCGGUGGAAUGCGCAGAUAUCAGGAGGAACACCGAUGGCGAAGGCAGGUCUCUGGGCCAAUACUGACACUGAGGAGCGAAAGCGUGGGGAGCGAACAGGAUUAGAUACCCUGGUAGUCCACGCCGUAAACGGUGGGCGCUAGUUGUGCGAACCUUCCACGGUUUGUGCGACGCAGCUACGCAUAGCGCCCGCCGUCGGGAGUACGANCGCAGAAUAAACUACAAUAGAGUAGACGCGUGAGAGUGCCGACGACGACGACGAGGGAGAGG
rnacentral:rRNA from 1 species